rnacentral:rRNA from 1 species
AGGGUGACAGGUGGUGCGAUGGUUGUCGUCAGCUCGUGUCGUGAGAUGUUGGUUAAGUCCCGCAACGAGCGCAACCCUCGCCUCUAGUUACCAGCAUUCGGUUGGGCACGUCUAGAGGGACUGCCGGCGACAAGUCGGAGGAAGGUGGGGAUGACGUCAAAUCAUCAUGCCCCUUAUGACCUGGGCUACACACGUGCUACAAUGGGCGGUACAAAGGGCUGCGAACCCGCGAGGGGGAGCGAAUCCCAAAAAGCCGCUCUCAGUUCGGAUUGCAGGCUGCAACUCGCCUGCAUGAAGCCGGAAUCGCUAGUAAUCGCGGAUCAGCAUGCCGCGGUGAAUACGUUCCCGGGUCUU